rnacentral:rRNA from 1 species
UGGGGAAUAUUGCACAAUGGGCGCAAGCCUGAUGCAGCCAUGCCGCGUGUAUGAAGAAGGCCUUCGGGUUGUAAAGUACUUUCAGCGGGGAGGAAGGCGAUAAGGUUAAUAACCUUGUCGAUUGACGUUACCCGCAGAAGAAGCACCGGCUAACUCCGUGCCAGCAGCCGCGGUAAUACGGAGGGUGCAAGCGUUAAUCGGAAUUACUGGGCGUAAAGCGCACGCAGGCGGUCUGUCAAGUCGGAUGUGAAAUCCCCGGGCUCAACCUGGGAACUGCAUUCGAAACUGGCAGGCUAGAGUCUUGUAGAGGGGGGUAGAAUUCCAGGUGUAGCGGUGAAAUGCAUAGAGAUCUGGAGGAAUACCGGUGGCGAAGGCGGCCCCCUGGACAAAGACUGACGCUCAGGUGCGAAAGCGUGGGGAGCAAACA